CAUAUUGUGUGCUAGUGCCACUUAUGGAGCUAUCAGCCUUGGUCCUUGAAGAAAUGCAGCUCCCCAUAAACCUAAACUUAAACCAGCAUCCAGUCUCCUCUGCUCCACCACCUUUCUUCUUUUUUCCCUUGGAUUUUCCCACACUCCAAGCACCAAUGUUCACAGAAUCAGGACCCAAAACCAUCUUAUGAUCCUUCUUAUGACCCUUCUUAUGACCUUAAACUAAGAGAAAUUCCCAUAUAUCAGAACUCCAUUGCAUCCCUUAUGAUCGUUCUCAGCCAAAAUCAGCCCAAACCCAUCAUCAAGCAUCAAAACGCCCCAAUUGAUAAUGCUAAUGAAACAAAAAUAAAAAAAUAAAAACAAAAACAAAAGUAAAAAAAACCAAAAACUAAACAAAAUCCAUUAAAGGAGAAUCCUUUUUAAAACUUAUAAGCCUCCAAUUAAAAAACAAACCAAUGUCACUCAAAUCCAAACGAGGUAAUUCAGGUGUAGAAGGCUAAGGCCACAGAAAUGGGCAUGACCCAGAUCACAAAAUGACCAUGCAAAGCGAAAGAGCCACCAUUAUGAUCAAUGUCAAGCUAGCAUUAAGAAGAAUAUGCAGUGCAGAGCAAUAAAAAAAAACCCCAGAAAAUUAAUCAAAGACAAUAACGGGCAUAAGUGAAUAAUGUACUUAAAUUGCCGGGUCUGUUUCAGCUCAACGAACAAACACAAAAACACAUUCACUCACACACUGCAUUGCCGAGUGAAGGUGGGACUCCACCAGCAAGCUCUUCAGUACCAGUGAUUCUGUAGAGAGAGUGAGAAGGAAAGAUGGUAGCUUUAGCCUUUAUGCGAGAAAGAAACUUGCGUUACAUGCGAGAAAGAGAGAGAGAGAAACAGGGAAAAAGAAAAGUGGGUUUGAGAAAACGGGCAGCGAGACAGUGUCUAGCUUGAAAU
rnacentral:misc_RNA from 1 species